UUUCAACAACGGAUCUCUUGGUUCUGGCAUCGAUGAAGAACGCAGCGAAAUGCGAUACGUAGUGUGAAUUGCAGAAUUCAGUGAAUCAUCGAAUCUUUGAACGCACAUUGCGCCCUUUGGUAUUCCAAAGGGCAUGCCUGUUCGAGCGUCAUUUGU
rnacentral:rRNA from 1 species